rnacentral:lncRNA from 1 species
UCUACAAAUUUCUCUUUCUCAUUGAUGGAACAAUGGACCACAAAGCUCUUUCAUUUAUUACUUACACAUUGUUGGCCCAUAACCAAAUUCCUUUUUCCCUCACCUGUUUUUUGUCACCAAUACUUUAAUAUUAUUGGUACUAUUUCAAGCAACAAGAACCAAAUUAGUGGAGCUCAUAUUUCCUUUGUAACAAAAAGUAGAACCAACUUUAACCAUUUGAUUAUUUUGUCCUUAGUUUACCAAAACAAAUAGAACCAAACUCUAAAACUAGUGCCCCAGCUCAGUCUCUUAAUCAACCGUCCAGAUUAUGACAAAAAAUUAGUAGAC